UAAAUUUAAAGCGGUCAUUAACCUCCACAACCCUUAAAAAAAUAACGCCCACUAACCCCAAUGUUUCCCUCAUUUUUAAUCCAUUCCCUCUCUUUUUUUUCGCAAACCCCUUUCUCAUUUUCAGCUACCCCUCUCUCCCCCAUUCUCAGAAAUCCUUUGAUUUUCCCAUCUAGCCAUUCACAAUAGUCGGUCCUCCACAAUUACCCUUUCAUUUCAGCAUCUCUCAACGAAAUCAAGACAAUGGUCCUCCACAGGCUGUAUACUUAAUUUUAUACGCUGCCUUUGAAUUAAAUUCAGCCGGCAAACAAAAUCAAUUUUAUACGCUGCCUUCAUAUUUUGAAAUAGUAAAAUCAAUUGCAUUUAGUAAAACAAAAACCUUCACAGCUCAUCAAGAUUGCAAAAGAAAACUUUAGAUCUAUCUAUCAAUUGGAUGUUAUAGUAAACACUCUUGCUUGGGGAAAUCCUUAUCGGUUGAUCAGUUCUGAAAGGUUAUAUCAAUACCUUCCAAUGGAUAAAUCUUGGAUUUGAAUGCCUAGAAAUACAACAAAGUAUUUACUUGGUUUGAAUCAAUUUCUAAAUUUUGCAUUUAAGAAUGCUUCUAUAGGAGAUAGAAUAAAAUGUCCCGUGACCUAAAUGUGGUUUUGGGAAGUGGCAGACUAGAGAGAUAGUGUACGAUCAUUUGAUUAGCAAGUUAUUCCCUCAAAAUUAUGUCACUUGGAUUCUUCAUGGGGAAACACAAGUGUUGAAGAACUCUAGAAGCACAGAGGUUGUCCCAGAUGCACUGCCUCCUAAAAAUCCUAUGGAAUUAUAGAUAAAUGAAGCAUCCCCAGGUUUAAGGCAUGAGGGCAUUGAUGCAGGUUCGUCACAAGUAGUUGGAGAAGAAGAAAUAUUAAAUGAUCUGCCUUCUUCAAAUAACAAAGAAUUUUUUGAGUUGCUUAGAGAUGGAAGUGAAGAAUUAUACGAAGGGUCCAAGUACUCGAAGCUAGAAUUUUUGUUAAAGUUGUAUCACAUAAAGUGUUUUCCUAGGCUAAGUGACAAGGGAAUGACUAUGAUGCUACGAGAACUUCCAGAACUCAAUUCAGUCAGCAUCUACCUCACAAGGUGUAGCACAACCUUUAUCAACUAAAUCAACACCUUCGCAUUUUGAUGAUACACCACAAGUUCAACCGACAGCACGACCAACACCUUCAAGUCAGGCUGCAGCAAAUUCGAUUCUGUCAGAUCAGACAACAACAUUGCAGGUUCCAUCUGUCCGGGCCGCGUCACAACAACCACUAUCUAGAAAGCGUAGUGGACGUGUGUCUACGCAACAUUGGACUGUAGAUGCAAUAGAUUCACAAGGAGCUAGCAAGAUACUUAAAGUGAAGAAAAGGGACAUGUUAAAUUUAUCUAAUGGAGAACGUAUUGUGGUUGAUUUUGACGACAUGGAUUCUCCCAUUGGUGAAGGACAAGGCGUUCUUGUAGGAUUUUGUGGAAUUUUAGCAACUAACUGCUCCAUUUUUCCAAUUCACUUUGAGAAAUGACCGGAUUUACCUAUGACAAUCUUCAAUCGUUGUUAUGAUCGAUUUAUAAAGCCACGAUUUUGUUUUCGGACAACUGAGUCAAAUGCAAGACGAUAUGUUUAUAAUUCUAUGUGUAAGAAGUGGGGCGCAAAAAGGCCAAAGUUGUUUGAUAAGGUUUAUGAUCCACUUAAGAGCAGAGCUGAGAUAAUGGAUAGCGUUCCACUGGGAAUUCCACCGGAUCAAUGGAUUUCUUUUGUUGAUUACCGCUUUAAAGAAAAGACACAGGAAAUUUGUAAAAGAAAUGCUGAAAUUCGAAAGAAACAAAUUGUUUCACAUAUCGGUGGCUCCAAACCUUACUCCAGAAGAAGGGCUGAAAUGAUGGCUCAGACUGGACAAAAUCCUGGACGAGGACAGCUUUAUCUCGUUACACAUAGGAAUGGAGAUGGAUCAUAUGUUAAUGAGGCAGCAAAAGAGAUAUGUGAAAAAAUUGAACUAGGAUUGAGCUAAAGCACCGUGGAUGAGUCUGAAAUUUUGCCAAAUGAUGCCGUUAGUAAGGUGCUGGAAAAAGAGCACUCUGGAAGGGUAAGGUGCUUGGGAUUAGGAGUUGUUCCUGGGAGAGCUUUUAGACAAACAAGACCUCGUUAUGGUGAUUUGAAUACUUCAACUUAUAAUAAUGGUUCAUGUUCUUCCCAAUGCCAAGAGAAGUACAAUCAAAUGUUGAAUGCUCCCAAUCAAAGCCAAGAGAACUACAGAGAAAUGAUGAAUGUUAACACCCAAAUGAUGAAUGCUAACACCCAAAUGAUAAAUGCUUUUAAGGCGUAUAUGAUAAUGAAAGAAGGGAGGAUACCUGAAGAAUUUGCAGGGAUCUUUGUUUCUCCUCCUCAUUCAACACCAGGUGAUGCGGCUAGCGGAUCCAUUUUACCCAUGGAUGUAAGAAGUAAUCCUAAUGACAACCAUUGAAGUUGCUUGCAAAUGUAUCGUACUCGAUUGAAUGGUCAUAGGAGAUAAUAGUUGGAGUAGAUGUUCUGUUUAAAGUUAGUUUUAAGACUAACUAUAAUACUGAUGUUUUGUGUUUAAUGGAUGUAGUAGUUGUGUUUAAAACAAGUUUUUGAGACUAGUGAUAGUCUACUUUAAUGUAUUUUAUGGUUUAUUAAUAUAUUGAUGUUAAUUACUUGA